rnacentral:rRNA from 1 species
GGGACACCGGUAGAGGUGCUGCAUGGCUGUCGUCAGCUCGUGCCGUGAGGUGUNGGGNUAAGUCCCGCAACGAGCGCAACCCCUACUCUUAGUUGCCACCCGCAAGGGGGAACUCUAAGAGGACUGCUCCGGAUAACGGAGAGGAAGGUGGGGAUGACGUCAAGUCAGCACGGCCUUUAUGUCCAGGGCUACACACGUGUUACAAUGCAUGGUACAAACCGUCGCGAACCCGUGAGGGGGAGCUAAUCGGGAAAAACCAUGCUCAGUUCGGAUUGCAGUCUGCAACUCGACUGCAUGAAGCCGGAAUCGCUAGUAAUGGCGUAUCAGAACGACGCCGUGAAUACGUUCCCGGGCCUUGUACACACCGCCCGUCACAUCACGAAAGUGGGUUGUACUAGAAGUCGCCAUGCUAACCGCAAGGAGGCAAGCGCCCAAGGUAUGACUCAUGAUUGGGGUGAAGUCGUAACAA